rnacentral:rRNA from 1 species
CAGUCGCCGCGGUAAUACGAAGGGGGCUAGCGUUGUUCGGAAUUACUGGGCGUAAAGGGCGCGUAGGCGGCCAUUCAAGUUAGAUGUGAAAGCCCUGGGCUCAACCUAGGAAUUGCAUUUGAUACUGUUUGGCUUGAGUUCGGGAGAGGUGAGUGGAAUUCCCAGCGUAGAGGUGAAAUUCGUAGAUAUUGGGAAGAACACCAGUGGCGAAGGCGGCUCACUGGACCGACACUGACGCUGAGGCGCGAAAGCGUGGGGAGCAAACAGGAUUAGAUACCCCAGUAGUCCCUGUCUCUUAUAC